UGCGUAACGCGUAUGCAACCUACCUCAAUCAGGGGGAUAGCCCGAAGAAAUUCGGAUUAACACCGCAUAAAAACACAGGAUAGCAUUAUCUAAUGUUCAAAUAUUUAUAGGAUUGAGAUGGGCAUGCGUGUCAUUAGCUAGUUGGCGGGGUAACGGCCCACCAAGGCGACGAUGACUAGGGGAUCUGAGAGGAUGACCCCCCACACUGGUACUGAGACACGGACCAGACUCCUACGGGAGGCAGCAGUAAGGAAUAUUGGUCAAUGGAGGCAACUCUGAACCAGCCAUGCCGCGUGCAGGAAGACAGCCCUCUGGGUCGUAAACUGCUUUUAUUCGGGAAUAAACCUAUUUACGUGUAGAUAGCUGAAUGUACCGAAGGAAUAAGGAUCGGCUAACUCCGUGCCAGCAGCCGCGGUAAUACGGAGGAUCCAAGCGUUAUCCGGAUUUAUUGGGUUUAAAGGGUGCGUAGGCGGCUUAUUAAGUCAGGGGUGAAAGACGGUGGCUCAACCAUCGCAGUGCCUUUGAUACUGAUGAGCUUGAAUGAACUAGAGGUAGGCGGAAUGUGACAAGUAGCGGUGAAAUGCAUAGAUAUGUCACAGAACACCGAUUGCGAAGGCAGCUUACUAUGGUUUUAUUGACGCUGAGGCACGAAAGCGUGGGGAUCAAACA
rnacentral:rRNA from 1 species